UGAGGAAUAUUGGUCAAUGGGCGAGAGCCUGAACCAGCCAAGUAGCGUGCAGGACGACGGCCCUAUGGGUUGUAAACUGCUUUUAUGCGGGGAUAACGUGCACCACGUGUGGUGUAUUGCAAGUACCGUCAGAAAAAGGACCGGCUAAUUCCGUGCCAGCAGCCGCGGUAAUACGGAAGGUCCGGGCGUUAUCCGGAUUUAUUGGGUUUAAAGGGAGCGUAGGCGGUCUGGUAAGUCAGCUGUGAAAACGCGGGGCUCAACUCCGCGCCUGCAGUUGAUACUGUCGGACUUGAGUGCACGCAGGGAUGCCGGAAUUCAUGGUGUAGCGGUGAAAUGCUUAGAUAUCAUGAAGAACUCCGAUCGCGAAGGCAGGUGUCCGGAGUGCUACUGACGCUGAGGCUCGAAAGUGUGGGUAUCAAACAGGAUUAGAUACCCUGGGUAGU
rnacentral:rRNA from 1 species